GAAAUAAGUAAUUCAAAGAUAAGCUUCUAACUUAAUCUUUUAGCGUUGAAAUCCGUUAUUAUUUCU
rnacentral:tRNA from 1 species